GAUGAACGCUGGCGGCGUGCUUAACACAUGCAAGUCGAACGGAAAGGCCCAAGCUUGCUUGGGUACUCGAGUGGCGAACGGGUGAGUAACACGUGGGUGAUCUGCCCUGCACUUCGGGAUAAGCCUGGGAAACUGGGUCUAAUACCGGAUAGGACCACAUUUUGGAUGGUGUGGUUGAAAGUUUUUCGGUGUGGGACGAGCUCGCGGCCUAUCAGCUUGUUGGUGGGGUAAUGGCCUACCAAGGCGUCGACGGGUAGCCGGCCUGGGGGGGUGUACGGCCACAUGGGGAAUGAGAUACGGCCCAGACUCCUAGGGGGGGAAGCGGGGGGAAAGAUUGCAAAAGGGGCACAAGCCUGAUGGAGGGACGCCGGGGGGGGGAUGACGGCCUUGGGGGUGGAACCCCUUUUCGCGAGGGACGAAGGUUUAUGGGGGGGGACCUGGAAAAGAAGCACGGGCAAACAACG
rnacentral:rRNA from 1 species